GUAGGUGGCAAGCGUUGUCCGGAAUUAUUGGGCGUAAAGCGCGCGCAGGUGGUUCUUUAAGUCUGAUGUGAAAGCCCCCGGGCUCAACCGGGGGAGGGUCAUUGGAAACUGGGGAACUUGAGUGCAGGAGAGGAAAGUGGAAUUCCACGUGUAGCGGUGAAAUGCGUAGAUAUGUGGAGGAACACCAGUGGCGAAGGCGACUUUCUGGCCUGUAACUGACACUGAGGCGCGAAAGCGUGGAGAGCAAACAGGAUUAGAUACCCUGGUAGUCCACGCCGUAAACGAUGAGUGCUAAGUGUUGGGGGGUUUCCGCCCCUCAGUGCUGCAGCUAACGCAUUAAGCACUCCGCCUGGGGAGUACGGUCGCAAAGACUG
rnacentral:rRNA from 1 species